AACCUUACCAAGGCUUGACAUGGACCGGACCGCUGCUGAGAUGCAGUUUCCCUUCGGGGUCGGUUCACAGGUGGUGCAUGGUUGUCGUCAGCUCGUGUCGUGAGAUGUUGGGUUAAGUCCCGCAACGAGCGCAACCCCUAUCCUAUGUUGCCAGCACGUUAUGGAGGGGACUCAUGGGAGACUGCCGGGGUCAACUCGGAGGAAGCUGGGGACGACGUCAUAUCAUCAUGCCCCUUAUGUCUUGGGCUUCACGCUUGCUACAAUGGCCGGUACAAUGGGUUGCGAUACUGUGAGGUGGAGCUAAUCCCUAAUAGCCGGUCUCAGUUCGGAUCGAAGUCUGCAACUCGACUUCGUGAAGUUGGAGUCGCUAGUAAUCGCAGAUCAGCAACGCUGCGGUGUAUACGUUCCCGGGCC
rnacentral:rRNA from 1 species